UUGCUUUGGCAGCACAUAUACUAGAAUUGAAACAAUACAGAAAAGAUUAGUAUGGUCCCUGCAGAAGGAUGAAAGGCAAAAUUCCUGAAGCAUUCCACAGAAGU